CAAUAGCGUAUAUUAAAGUUGUUGCAGUUAGAACGCUCGUAGUCGGAUUUCGGGGCGGGGCGACCGGUCUGCCGAUGGGUAUGCACUGGUCGGCGCGUCCUUCCUUCCGGAGACCGUGCCUACUCUUAACUGAGCGGGCACGGGAGACGGAUCGUUUACUUUGAAAAAAUCAGAGUGUUUCAAGCAGGCAGCUCGCCCUUGCAUGGAUUAGCAUGGGAUAAUGAAAUAGGACUUUGGUGCUAUUUUGUUGGUUUCGAACACCGAAGUAAUGAUUAACAGGGACAGUCAGGGGCACUCGUAUUCCGCCGAGAGAGGUGAAAUUCUCAGACCAGCGGAAGACGAACUACUGCGAAAGCAUUUGCCAGGGAUGUUUUCACUGA
rnacentral:rRNA from 1 species